GACGAACGCUGGCGGCGUGCCUAAUACAUGCAAGUAGAACGCAGUUGCGAACGGGUGAGUAACGCGUAGGUAACUUCCUGGUAGCGGGGGAUAACUAUUGGAAGCGACUGCUACUACCGCAUACUACCAGAUGGACCUGGGUUGUAUUAGGUAGUUGGUGGGGUAAUGGCCUACCAAGCCGACGAUCUCUAGCUGGUCUGAGAGGAUGUCCAGCCACACCGGGACUGAGACACGGCCCGGACUCCUACGGGAGGCAGCAGUGGGGAAUAUUGCGCAAUGGGGGCAAGCCUGACGCAGCCAUGCCGCGUGAAUGAAGAAGGCCUUCGGGUUGUAAAGUUCUUUCGGUGACGAGGCGUUAAUCACAGAAGAAGCACCGGCUAACUCCGUGCCAGCAGCCGCGGUAAUAC
rnacentral:rRNA from 1 species